AUUGAACGCUGGCGGCAGGCCUAACACAUGCAAGUCGAGCGAGCGGCGGACGGGUGAGUAAUGUCUGGGAAACUGCCUGAUGGAGGGGGGUAACUACUGGGAACCGUAGCUAAUACCGCAUACCAUCAGAUGUGCCCAGAUGGGAUGCGCUAGUAGGUGGGGUAACGGCUCACCUAGGCGACGAUCCCUAGCUGGUCUGAGAGGAGGACCAGCCACACUGGAACUGAGACACGGUCCAGACGCCUACGGGAGGCAGCAGUGGGGAAUAUUGCACAAUGGGCGCAAGCCUGAUGCAGCCAUGCCGCGUGUGUGAAGAAGGCCUUCGGGUUGUAAAGCACUUUCAGCGGGGAGGCGUUACCCGCAGAAGAAGCACCGGCUAACUCCGUGCCAGCCGCCGCGGUAAUUC
rnacentral:rRNA from 1 species